GCUAAAGCUUACUCAAAAAUGUAACAAACCAAUUUUUAACAAUGUUUUAAUCUAUUAAGCUCAGAAUCGGCCCAAGCUCAAAUUAGAUUUUGAACAAACCAAAUAUAAGCAGUGUGAUAGUCAGCUCAACUCAAGUCAAAUACGGCCCUAACUAUCCAUAGGAGACACAUUUGCAUAUCCUAGAAAAAUUUUAUAUUUUAGCAGUAAAAACAGCAAUUUGUAGACAACUUGAAUACAUCAUAAGUUUAUCACAUGCAGAAUUAUACAUAUUAUGCAGUUAGAAAGUUAGAAUAACUGGACCCCAUAGGAAUAUAGCAGUCUUGGAUGAUCAAGUGUCAUCAUAAUAUCCAUGUUUAGCGUGAAUGGAGUACUUCAAGUGAAGGUAGUAUAGGAAAGUAACUGAUCAAUUGGGCAAUAACUGUAGCUCACCCUGUUGGAAUAAGGCAUCCCUAGUUACUUCCCCACUUCAUAAUUAAACAUUGCAAUAAUGACAAUUUAAG
rnacentral:misc_RNA from 1 species